rnacentral:piRNA from 1 species
UGUUCCGACAGUUCUUUUUGA